AGAUCAUGUUAAGGAGAACUCCUUAGCAGCCCUUUGUAUCUCUCCUAUGCUUCAUAUAAUGAUUCUCCAACUUCUUGUUGAAAAUUAGCAAUCUUUUUCUUCAUCAU